UUUCUAAGCACUUCCCCAAGCUGCAGUCUUUACUGGACAUGCAUCCUUUUCUGUCAGUGAUGCAUGCCAAAGCACACUCUUGGAAAUGUGAGGUCAAGUAUAGUGGGGCCUGCCAGGAAGGAGCUGGGUCAAUUAUUGGUGACGAAGUGGAGCAGGUGAACAGCUUCCUAUCUAGAAUUGCUGUUACAAGCAAAUACAUGUCAAAAUCAGGCCGAGCAGACAUGAUUACAAUGCAAGCCAUGUUGUGGAAUAAGCGGAAGAUUAUCAA